UGGCGGACGGGUGAGUAACGCGUGGGUAACCUGCCUCAUACAGGGGGAUAACAGUUAGAAAUGACUGCUAAUACCGCAUAAGACCACAGGAUUGCAUGAUCCGGUGGUAAAAACUCCGGUGGUAUGAGAUGGACCCGCGUCUGAUUAGGUAGUUGGUGGGGUAACGGCUCACCAAGCCGACGAUCAGUAGCCGACCUGAGAGGGUGACCGGCCACAUUGGGACUGAGACACGGCCCAAACUCCUACGGGAGGCAGCAUG
rnacentral:rRNA from 1 species